rnacentral:rRNA from 1 species
CGCAGCGACGCCGCGUGGGUGAAGAAGGCCUUCGGGUUGUAAAGCCCUUUUCUGUGGGAAGAGGAAGGACGGUACCAUAGGAAUAAGCGUCGGCUAACUACGUGCCAGCAGCCGCGGUAAGACGUAGGACGCGAGCGUUAUCCGGAUUUACUGGGCGUAAAGCGUGUGUAGGCGGCGUGACAAGUUGGGCGUGAAAGCCCCGUGCUCAACGCGGGGAGGCCGCACAAUACUGUCAGGCUAGAGGGCAUCAGAGGGGUGUGGAAUUCCCGGAGUAGCGGUAAAAUGCGCAGAUAUCGGGAGGAACACCGGUGGCGAAAGCGGCACCCUGGGGUGCACCUGACGCUGAGAGACGACAGCUAGGGGAGCGAACAGGAUUAGAGACCCUGGUAGCCCUAGCCGUAAACGAUGGAUGCUAGGUGUGGGAGUGAAGAACUUCUGUGCCGCAGCGAACGCGAUAAGCAUCCCGCCUGGGGAGUACGGCCGCAAGGUUAAAACUCAAACGAAUUGACGGGGACCCGCACAAGCAGCGGAGCGUGUGGUUUAAUUCGAUGCUACACGAAGAACCUUACCUGGGAUUGACAUAUGGGUGGUAGUGAGCCGAAGGGCAAGCGACCCUUCGGGGAGCCUAUACAGGUGCUGCAUGGCUGUCGUCAGCUCGUGCCGUGAGGUGUCGGGUUAAGUCCCGUAACGAGCGCAACCCCUGUCCUUAGUUACAAGUGUCUAAGGGGACUGCCGGCGGGAAGCCGGAGGAAGGUGGGGAUGACGUCAAGUCAGCAUGGCCCUUAUAUCCAGGGCGACACACACGCUACAAUGGUCGGUACAGAGGGCAGCGAAGCCGCGAGGUGGAGCGAAACCCAGAAAGCCGGUCGUAGUUCGGAUUGCAGGCUGCAACUCGCCUGCAUGAAGUUGGAGUUGCUAGUAACCGCAGGUCAGCCAUAC